rnacentral:lncRNA from 1 species
AAUAAAUAAAUAAAUAAAUAGGCAAAGGGGAAGCGAGGACGGACGGCGGGAAGGCAUCUAAGGAAGCGGCGCCCAUGGAUCUCCCAUCAUCAAGCCCCCCUCCUCCGAUCAAGAUGGCUGGGGACGGGCCUUCGUUCCGCCUCCAGCAGCCACCCAGGUAAGCCGGCGGCGUCCUCUUCCCAGCCGUCAUGUGGCCUCUAAGAUCCAUGCCGAUGGUGUGAUCUCCCGAUUCUUCUUGCCGGACGGUCCUCCCUCUUCUCCUUCGGUCGACCUCGUUUCGACUAGCGGUGAGAUGAACUCGAGGCACGUCGGCUGGCGGCGCCAGCUCCUAGGGAAGCACUUAAACCGAUCCGCCUCCGGCUUCUUCGUUCCUCUUUUUCCUCCACCGAUCUCCCAUAGAACCUCCCGAUCGUCGGCAAAUUGGCGGUCCAGAGGACGAUCCAGCGAGACGGCCGCCGGUUGAGGACCCAGCGGUGGGCCAUCGGUAGAGAUUAGGCGGCGCACGAGAUGCCGGAUCCCGCUGUAGCUCUAGAUCGGAAAAGGGAAAUUUGCAAUUUAGUCUCUGUUGAAGUGUUUUAGUCCAUAAAAAGCCCUGAAAAUUCCAUGUUGGUCCCUAUAGAAAACUUUAUUACAUAAAGAUUCCUAGAUGAAUAUUUUGUCCCUGUAAUAAAGUUUUAUUAUGUAGUGGUUCUCCGAUAAUUAUGUUAUCAUUCCUGUAAUAUAGUUCUAUUGCAUAAAAGUCCUUAACUAUGCAUUGCAGAUUUUCUAGUUAUGGACUGAAUAACAAUGUGUUGUUUAAUAUGUUUAUGUGCCAAUAAAGUGUUGUAAGUCGGAUAUCAUGUUAUUGGUGAUCGAUUAUUUGUAUAUUCAUCCCAUAUUUUGCAUGUAAAAUUGAUU